GAAACAUAUAAAUGAAUGGUCCUGGCAGACAAUGAAGAUCCACACACACAAAUCCCAUUUCUCGGCUAUAAGCCCAUCGUCCUGAAGGUUUCAGCAAUGCAUGGGAUUAUUGAAAUACCACACAGGUA